UGGAUCAAUGAUGACUGUGGGUGCUGUAUGAGUCAUGGAUUGUGACUACAAGUCUUGGAGUCUGAGGUUCAC